rnacentral:rRNA from 1 species
UACGUAGGUGGCAAGCGUUAUCCGGAAUUAUUGGGCGUAAAGCGCGCGCAGGCGGUUUCUUAAGUCUGAUGUGAAAGCCCACGGCUCAACCGUGGAGGGUCAUUGGAAACUGGGGAACUUGAGUGCAGAAGAGAAAAGCGGAAUUCCACGUGUAGCGGUGAAAUGCGUAGAGAUGUGGAGGAACACCAGUGGCGAAGGCGGCUGUGUGGUCUGUAACUGACGCUGAGGCGCGAAAGCGUGGGGAGCAAGCAGG